ACAAGAAGUACAAGAGUAUUCUGUUCGGUGGGUAAUCAGGAAGGAAAGGGAAAGAGAAAAUCAGUCCCUCUGGGCGACCAGGUUCAUUGAACCUGCAAAGCUCUCUCUUUUAUCUUGCCAUUUCCUCCAUCUCUAGCUUCUGCAACAAAACAAUGUAGUAUUAAUCUAUAUCUACAUAUAUAUAUAUAUAUAGAUCGAUAGAUAGAUAGAGAGAGAGAGAGAGAGAUGGCCUUGCCUGCUGACGAAGAUCAUCUCCUUCCCACCUUAAACCCUAAUAUUUCACUGUCUUCUGUGUGCCCAAAGGUCUCUAUGUGGCUGCGGAUCACUCGGCAUGCAUGGAGGAAGAAGAAGAAAACCAGACCAGAAUCUUGAUGCAUAUCGUGAUAUAAAUAUAUAUAUAUAUAUAUAUUCACAGAACCAGAAUCAAAUAUAUAUAUAUGAGCAGAUAACAAGGCAGCAAUAUUGCAAUGGCUACCACACAGUGUUCUUGAGGAUGAUGAGUUCCCCCCUAAACUUCAGUUUUCCAGUUUGGUGAUCCUGUAAUAAUCAAGGAAAAGAUGAUCAUGAACCUGAUGAAUCAGUCUCAGCCUGUAUUUCCUUAAUCUCGCUUUGGAAUGCUCCGAGAUCAACAGGCAGAUUGUAGGUUUGUGAUUGCUUACCACAAUAAAUUCUAGUUCUGUGUAUUAAUCUUCAUUUUUAUUUUUUUAUUUAAUUUUGGCUUCUUUUUCUCCCCCAUUGCCUUAUGGUGAGAGGAUAUGUACUUCUCAGGACAACUUCUUGGGAUGAAUGGGGCUUUCCUUAUGUAAUUGUUAGUAUUCCUUAUAUA